rnacentral:rRNA from 1 species
CGCUAUCUACAGGCUUAACACAUGCAAGUCGAGGGGCAGCAUGGUCUUAGCUUGCUAAGGCCGAUGGCGACCGGCGCACGGGUGAGUAACACGUAUCCAACCUGCCGUCUACUCUUGGACAGCCUUCUGAAAGGAAGAUUAAUACAAGAUGGCAUCAUGAGUCCGCAUGUUCACAUGAUUAAAGGUAUUCCGGUAGACGAUGGGGAUGCGUUCCAUUAGAUAGUAGGCGGGGUAACGGCCCACCUAGUCUUCGAUGGAUAGGGGUUCUGAGAGGAAGGUCCCCCACAUUGGAACUGAGACACGGUCCAAACUCCUACGGGAGGCAGCAGUGAGGAAUAUUGGUCAAUGGGCGAGAGCCUGAACCAGCCAAGUAGCGUGAAGGAUGACUGCCCUAUGGGUUGUAAACUUCUUUUAUAAAGGAGUAAAGUCGGGUAUGGAUACCCGUUUGCAUGUACUUUAUGAAUAAGGAUCGGCUAACUCCGUGCCAGCAGCCGCGGUAAUACGGAGGAUCCGAGCGUUAUCCGGAUUUAUUGGGUUUAAAGGGAGCGUAGAUGGAUGUUUAAGUCAGUUGUGAAAGUUUGCGGCUCAACCGUAAAAUUGCAGUUGAUACUGGAUAUCUUGAGUGCAGUUGAGGCAGGCGGAAUUCGUGGUGUAGCGGUGAAAUGCUUAGAUAUCACGAAGAACUCCGAUUGCGAAGGCAGCCUGCUAAGCUGCAACUGACAUUGAGGCUCGAAAGUGUGGGUAUCAAACAGGAUUAGAUACCCUGGUAGUCCACACGGUAAACGAUGAAUACUCGCUGUUUGCGAUAUACAGCAAGCGGCCAAGCGAAAGCGUUAAGUAUUCCACCUGGGGAGUACGCCGGCAACGGUGAAACUCAAAGGAAUUGACGGGGGCCCGCACAAGCGGAGGAACAUGUGGUUUAAUUCGAUGAUACGCGAGGAACCUUACCCGGGCUUAAAUUGCAGAUGAAUUACGGUGAAAGCCGUAAGCCGCAAGGCAUCUGUGAAGGUGCUGCAUGGUUGUCGUCAGCUCGUGCCGUGAGGUGUCGGCUUAAGUGCCAUAACGAGCGCAACCCUUGUUGUCAGUUACUAACAGGUUCCGCUGAGGACUCUGACAAGACUGCCAUCGUAAGAUGUGAGGAAGGUGGGGAUGACGUCAAAUCAGCACGGCCCUUACGUCCGGGGCUACACACGUGUUACAAUGGGGGGUACAGAGGGCCGCUACCACGCGAGUGGAUGCCAAUCCCAAAAACCUCUCUCAGUUCGGACUGGAGUCUGCAACCCGACUCCACGAAGCUGGAUUCGCUAGUAAUCGCGCAUCAGCCACGGCGCGGUGAAUACGUUCCCGGGCCUUGUACACACCGCCCGUCAAGCCAUGGGAGCCGGGGGUACCUGAAGUGCGUAACCGCGAGGAGCGCCCUAGGGUAAAACUGGUGACUGGGGCUAAGU